ACCGCCACGGUGACUUGCAAGCAAUUCACUGCCUUAGGUACUGGACUAUCUGAAUUUCUAAUUCAGUGAUGGAAGGCUGCUGGGUGUAGUCAAGUACUUGACUUGUCGGUGCAUGUGUCAAGAUCAGAUUAACCACUCCAGUUUAGGAGCUGUGUACAGUCGUGUUUCAAUUUAGCAAAAUCUUGGCCAUGAUAGUCUUUGUGAGGAGUCACAGGACUGUUUGAGUUGAGCACGAUUCGGAUGAUCUAAUCAGGGUUGACAGUUUAACCCUGAGUCAUCCUAAACAUAGAGGUCAAAAGGAUGAAUUAUACAGUAACUAUAUUCAUGUAGGUUCUGAGUGUUGCGAUUGCGACUCUUCGACCUAUCCAGACAUCGAGUACCAUUGCUAGAUGGUCACUUCGAUUAGUACAGGAAUUGGUUCCUGUGCUACCAGCUUAGGUUCGAACCUGCGGGAUCACACACAUUAGAGGUUCCUAUCUGAUCUGAUGGCUGAUGUAGAAUCGUACAUAUUUGAAACUCAGUGAUUGAG
rnacentral:lncRNA from 1 species